AAAAACUCUCUCUCUCUCUCUCUCAAAAGAGAACGAUCAUUCUCUUCUUCUCUCUAUCCCAUAAAAAAUUCCUUUGUCCUUUUUUUUUUCUCAAUCGAUCUCUCUUUCCAUCUAUUCCCUCACUCUUUCAAUCGUAUUCUCUCUUUCUCUUUCGGUUCCGAACAAUUUCAGUCUCUCAAAAAAUAUAGCAAUUCAGCAAAACCCCCUUGUUUUCUCUAUUUUCUCGGUUUCAAGCUCAUGUUCAUAGGUAAAAAAUCAACAACAAUCUCAGCAUUACGAUAUCACCAAGAAGAAGAAAUCUCAUGUAACAAUUAA